rnacentral:rRNA from 1 species
UUCGGCCCUCGGCGAACGGCUCAGUAACACGUCUUAUAAUUUGCCCUUAGGUGGAGGAUACCCUCGGGAAACUGAGAAUAAUACUCCAUAGAUUUAGAAUGCUGGAAUGCUUUUAAAUUGAAAGAUUUAUCGCCUAAGGAUAAGUCUGCGGACUAUCAGGUCGUAGUUAGGGUAAAUACCUGACUAGCCUACGACGGAUACGGGUUGUGAGAGCACUAGCCCGGAGAUGAUAUCUGAGACACGAUAUCAGGCCCUACGGGGCGCAGCAGGCGCGAAAACUUCGCACUGUGCGAAAGCACGACGAGGGAAUCCCAAGUGCUGGCUCGUAAGAGUCAGCUGUUUCUUUGUCUAAAAAACAGAGAGAGUAAGAGCUGGGUAAGACGGGUGCCAGCCGCCGCGGUAAUACCUGCAGCUCAAGUGGUGGCCGCUAUUAUUGGGCCUAAAACGUCCGUAGCCGGUUCUAUAAAUGCCUGGGUAAAUCGUACGGCUUAACCGUACGAAUUCCGGGUAGACUGUUCAACUUGGGACCGGGAGAGGCUAGAGGUACUCCUGGGGUAGAGGUGAAAUUCUGUAAUCCUAGGGGGACCACCAGUGGCGAAGGCGUCUAGCUAGAACGGGUCUGACGGUGAGGGACGAAGCCCUGGGGAGCAAACGGGAUUAGAUACCCCGGUAGUCCAGGGUGUAAACGCUGCUCGCUUGAUGUUAGUCGGGCUCCGAGCCCAACUAGUGUCGGAGAGAAGUUGUUAAGCGAGCUGCCUGGGAAGUACGGUCGCAAGACUGAAACUUAAAGGAAUUGGCGGGGGAGCACCGCAACGGGUGGAGCGUGCGGUUUAAUUGGAUUCAACGCCGGG